AUUCUUAAGGUACAAGAGAACUUUCAUAUCUUAUUUUAGGAAAGUAUAACAACAUAUUCAUAGAAUAUAAGACAAAGUUUCAGAUUUUCAUUUUAUGAAGAGGGGAUAACGUUGGUUUAAUUCAAGAACAGAGCAACGUCGUCCCUUAAUUGUGCAGCAAUAUAAAUUCGUUGUAGAGCAGCAACUAAGCAAUUCACUUAAGGGAAAGCUACAGCAACGUGAAUAUAGAGUGGGCAGCAGCAUUGUUAUUUUACGGGUUUCACUAAUUGCUUCGAUCUUGUUAUUCCAUUUUGUCGUGUUGUUGACUCCGGGCUUUCUUCGUAAUGAAGUAAGGUGGCAGAAGAUCAUUUCUUGGCAAAUAAGGCUAAAGGGGCGACGAAGCGAACUUGGUUAUGGUUAACCUGAAACAGGUACAGACGCUCGAUUCGGUGAUCCCUCAGCUUAGGACUUCUACUCAGCUGUCUUGGGGAGCUCCAUUGUUCCGGAGCCUAGACUUUUGGUACAGAUCUUCUGAUGUAUUUAUAUAUGGUUGUCCAGGGGUACGACGGGGCCCUGUCCCGUCAUAUUUCACUGUUAGUACUCUUAGAGGUCUAUAGACAUAUGUGUGGGUUGUGUAUAAGUUCGUUCAGCUGUGUCUAUACGAUGUGCUAUGGAUAUGUUCGUAUGUAGUGGCAGCCUUGUUGGCUUGUGUAUCAUCUUAUGACUUGAUCAGUUGUGACUCCUCAGGAGACAAUUAUCUGGACAUAUAUAUGAUGACGUUA